rnacentral:rRNA from 1 species
UUUAGAGUUUGAUCCUAGCUCAGGAUGAACGCUGGCGGCGUGGAUGAGGCAUGCAAGUUAAACGGCUCUUAUCUCUUUCGCAAGAAAGUGGUAGCGGGCAGUGGCAAACGAGGUAGUAAUACAUAGGAACGUCCCCGGAAGUCUCGCAUAGCUCGCCGAAAGGCGGGGUAAUACGGGAUGUGGUAGAGAUAUCAAAGGAGCAAUCCGCUUACGGAACGGCCUGUGGAGUAUCAGCUAGUUGGUAGGGUAAUGGCCUACCAAGGCUAUGACACUUAGGGGACCUGAGAGGGUGACCCCCACCGAUGGGACUGAGACACGGCCCAUACACCUACGGGUGGCAGCAGCCGAGAAUAUUCGACAAUGGGCGAAAGCCUGAUCGAGCGACGCCGCGUGAUGGAUGAAGUCCCUAGGGACGUAAACAUCUUUUAUGAAGGAGAAAGUAGCGACGUUUACGUCGGUAUUGAUAGUACUUCAUGAAUAAGGGGUUGCUAAACUCGUGCCAGCAGCAGCGGUAAUACGAGUACCCCAAGCGUUAUCCGGAAUCAUUGGGCGUAAAGGGUGUGUAGGCGGUAUGGUUAGUCUUCUGUUAAAAUCUCGGGCUCAACUCGAGACUUGUGGAGGAAACGGCCAAACUUGAGGAUGUGAGAGGUGAAUGGAACUCAUGGUGUAGGGGUGAAAUCCGUUGAUAUCAUGGGGAACACCAAAAGCGAAGGCAAUUCACUGGCGCAUUUCUGACGCUGAAACACGAAAGCGAAGGCAAUUCACUGGCGCAUUUCUGACGCUGAAACACGAAAGCGUGGGUAGCGAACGGGAUUAGAUACCCCGGUAGUCCACGCCCUAAACGAUGUCAACUAGCUUUUCGGAGUAUCAACCCUCUGAGAGGCAAAGCUAACGCGUUAAGUUGACCGCCUGGGUAGUACGGCCGCAAGGCUAAAACUCAAAGGAAUAGACGGGGACUUGCACAAGCAGUGGAUUAUGCGGUUUAAUUCGAUGUUGAACGAAGAACCUUACCAAGGUUAGAAAUCUAGGUGAAGACACGCAGAAACGUGUGUCGUCCGCAAGGACNNNNNNNNNNNNNGUCGUCAGUUCGUGAUUUGAAUUGUUCCCUUAAGUGGGGUAACGAACGCAACCCUCGUUGCCAGUUACAAGUGUCUGGCGAGACUGCCCCCGCUUGAGCGCAUCUUCGGUGCGCGGAGAUGAAUAAUGAAUAAUGAAUAAUGAAUCAGGAGAAAUUCCAUUCAUAAUUCCUUAUUCCUAAUUCGUUAUUCGCGCCUGUAAGGCGCUCUCCAGCGGGGGAGGAAGGCGAGGAUGACGCCAGGUCAGCAUGUCCCUUGAUACCUUGGGCUACACGCAUAAUACAAUCGCCGCUACAACAGGUUGCGACGGGGUAACCCCGAGCUAAUCCUAAGAAAAGCGGCGCCAGUUCGGAUAGGGGGCUGCAACUCGACCCCUUGAAGCCGGAAUUGCUAGUAAUCGCGGGUCAGCUAUACCGCGGUGAAUACGUUCUCAAGUCUUGUACUCA